AGCAAUAACAGGUCUGUGAUGCCCUAGAUGUUUCGGGGCCGCACGCGCGCUACACUGACCGGAUCAGCGUGUGCUCUCCUGGCUCGACAGGUCCGGGAAACCCGUUGAACCCCGGUCGUGCUAGGGAUAGGGAAUUGCAAUUAUUUCCCUUGAACGAGGAAUUCCCAGUAAGCGCGAGUCAUUAGCUCGCGUUGAUUACGUCCCUGCCCUUUGUACACACCGCCCGUCGCUACUACCGAUUGAAUGGUUUAGUGAGGUCCUCCGAUUGGACCCGGUCCGGGCGGCGACGUCCGAGCCGGCGUCCGAGAAGACGAUCUAACUUGAUCAUUUAGAGGAAGUAAAAGUCGUAACAAGGUUUCCGUAGGUGAACCUGCGGAAGGAUCAUUA
rnacentral:ncRNA from 1 species